rnacentral:rRNA from 1 species
ACUGGAACACGGUCCAGACUCCUACGGGAGGCAGCAGUGGGGAAUAUUGGACAAUGGGGGCAACCCUGAUCCAGCCAUGCCGCGUGUGUGAAGAAGGCUUUCGGGUUGUAAAGCACUUUCAGUGAGGAGGAAAACCUUAAGUUUAAUACGCUUGAGGCUUGACGUUACUCACAGAAGAAGCACCGGCUAACUCCGUGCCAGCAGCC